CCUACGGGGUGCAGCAGUGGGGGAUAUUGCACAAUGGGGGAAACCCUGAUGCAGCGACGCCGCGUGGGUGAAGAAGCGCCUCGGCGCGUAAAGCCCUGUCAGCAGGGAAGAAAAUGACGGUACCUGAAGAAGAAGCCCCGGCUAACUACGUGCCAGCAGCCGCGGUAAUACGUAGGGGGCAAGCGUUAUCCGGAGUUACUGGGUGUAAAGGGGGCGCAGACGGCGAUGCAAGCCAGGAGUGAAAGCCCGGGGCCCAACCCCGGGACUGCUCUUGGAACUGCGUGGCUAGAGUGCAGGAGGGGCAGGCGGAAGUCCUGGUGUAGCGGUGAAAUGCGUAGAUAUCAGGAGGAACACCGGUGGCGAAGGCGGCCUGCUGGACUGCAACUGACGUUGAGGCCCGAAAGCGUGGGGAGCAAACAGGAUUAGAUACCCGAGUAGUC
rnacentral:rRNA from 1 species